rnacentral:rRNA from 1 species
AAAAGGUGGCUAUGCUACCGCUUUUGGAUGGGCCCGCGGCGCAUUAGCUAGUUGGUGGGGUAAAGGCUUACCAAGGCAAUGAUGCGUAGCCGAACUGAGAGGUUGAUCGGCCACAUUGGGACUGAGACACGGCCCAAACUCCUACGGGAGGCAGCAGUAGGGAAUCUUCCACAAUGGGCGAAAGCCUGAUGGAGCAACGCCGCGUGGGUGAAGAAGGUCUUCGGAUCGUAAAACCCUGUUGUUAGAGAAGAAAGUGCGUGAGAGUAACUGUUCACGUUUCGACGGUAUCUAACCAGAAAGCCACGGCUAACUACGUGCCAGCAGCCGCGGUAAUACGUAGGUGGCAAGCGUUAUCCGGAUUUAUUGGGCGUAAAGGGAACGCAGGCGGUCUUUUAAGUCUGAUGUGAAAGCCUUCGGCUUAACCGGAGUAGUGCAUUGGAAACUGGGAGACUUGAGUGCAGAAGAGGAGAGUGGAACUCCAUGUGUAGCGGUGAAAUGCGUAGAUAUAUGGAAGAACACCAGUGGCGAAAGCGGCUCUCUGGUCUGUAACUGACGCUGAGGUUCGGAAGCGUGGGUAGCAAACAGGAUUAGAUACCCUGGUAGUCCACGCCGUAAACGAUGAAUGCUAAGUGUUGGAGGGUUUCCGCCCUUCA